AUUGAACGCUGGCGGCAUGCUUUACACAUGCAAGUCGAACGGCAGCACGGGUGCUUGCACCUGGUGGCGAGUGGCGGACGGGUGAGUAAUGCAUCGGAACGUGUCCUAAAGUGGGGGAUAACGCAUCGAAAGAUGUGCUAAUACCGCAUAUUCUCUGAGGAGGAAAGUAGGGGAUCGAAAGACCUUAUGCUUUUGGAGCGGCCGAUGUCUGAUUAGCUAGUUGGUAGGGUAAUGGUUUACCAAGGCGACGAUCAGUAGUUGGUCUGAGAGGACGACCAGCCACACUGGGACUGAGACACGGCCCAGACUCCUACGGGAGGCAGCAGUGGGGAAUAUUGCGCGAUGGGCGAAAGCCUGACGCAGCCAUGCCGCGUGAGUGAUGAAGGCCCUCGGGUCGUAAAGCUCUGUCGGGAGGGACGAAGGGUGGCAACACUCUGACGGUACCUCGCAAGAAAGCACCGGCUAACUCCGUGCCAGCAGCCGCGGU
rnacentral:rRNA from 1 species